rnacentral:rRNA from 1 species
UCCGGUUCUCGUUCGAUCACCGAAGUCAAGCAUCAUUGGGCGCGGUCAGUACUUGGGAGGGUGACCACCUGGGAACUCCGCGUGCCGUU